UCCUUUUCGGGUCCAAACCUGCUUUCUUUUCAAUUCAACAUACUCUUCCUCAUCAUCAUAACAAUCACCACAAUAAAUCUACUUCAAAUCAACAAUUAAACUCAUACAAUAUUCAAAUCCAACAACCAAAAUUCAACUAAGAAUCAUAGUUCACAAAUCCUAGGCUUUUAACACAAAUACCUCAAAUCAAUAAUUCACCAAAUCGUUAGUUAAUAACUAAUUAUCCAAUAAACUUCAACCAAAUAUAUAUAUUCAUCGACAAAUUACUAAACAUUAAGCAUACACCUGCAUUCCAACUUAUCCUAUGGUCAUCUAGCCUAAGUUUUCACAGAACAUUAUAUAUUAAAUGCAAGAAACCUAAACCAUACCUUGGCCGAUUUCCACGUAACGACCAAAGCUAUUUAUUCAAAACCAAGACAACCCCUCAAAACUCAACUAAUCCGCUUCCUCCAAGUUCCAGUAUUCACAAUUUCAAGCUCCAAUUAUUUAUUUUCAACCUAAUACACAUUCAUAAUACAUAUAUACCCAAUUUAAUACUCAAAGCUCAAAUUUAAUGAAAAUAAAAUAGAAUUAUCGUAUCCUCAUCUUACCCAAGCUUCACACAAGCAAGAGUGAACGUUUCUCUCAAGCUAAUUGGAUCCUAAAACAUCAAAAAUCAAAGAAAUUCAAUAUUCCCACUUAAAAUUCGAAAAUUGGGGGAAGAUGAAGCUGAGAGUGAAAUAACAAGUUACCAGUGAAAUUGUUCCAGUAGAAAUGUAGAGCUCAAAAGUUACCUAUGAAAUUGUUUCGGUAGAAAUGUAGAGCUCGACGCGGUGAACGCGUGGCCGCAAACGGUGCGGCGAUCGGAGCUCGAACGGAGGAGUUACGGGAUUUGGAAAGUAACGUGAGGGUUACGGGAUUUUUUUUUUUCUCGUUCUUCCCUCCCCUGGAAGCUGAAAGCUUCGC
rnacentral:lncRNA from 1 species